UGCUGUGAUGGGUGGCAGGGCUGCUGUCUGAGCUGCUCUGGCCAAGUUUUACAAUGGUGCCAUUAUCCACCAGACAUCUGGCAGGCGUAGCUUCUAUUUUUCCUGCCCUGUGGUGGCAGUUGUUAGGUGGAAAGGCAGGUUGGCAGGGGAAGACUGGAUAUUUGACAUCUCCUCCCUUCUCCCCUUUGCUAACAUUCCUUUGGCUUGUAAGUCUGACAAACCAGCAGCAAGAGAAGAUUGUUGUAAGUUAUUUGCAAGGACACAGGGUCACAUGUUUUUCAUCCAUUCCUUUUAAGACUUCAGUGGCAACAUACAAGCACCUUUCCCAAGACCCAGCAAGGAAAAGCCUGUUUGGUAAAGCAACAGAGGAAACUUGAGGUUUAUUUUGUUGUUUGUAAGAAUAAACACCCUCCAAAAUAUCCUUGAGAGUUGCUGAUAUUCUUAGUUAUUAAAAAAACCUCUCAUGAGUGUCAAGGGCAAUGCAGUAGAUGUAAAGCAGAGGGGGGACAAACGUCUUCGACACAUUGUCAAAGGUUUCACAUUUAGGCUGCCAACAGGGGCUGAGCUGCUCCACAGGCUUGUUUCCUUGAAGGAAGGAGUGCACCCUCCCCAAAUAUGGCCUGAUUGCCUCAGCUGAUGAUGCUGUUAUUCAUUAAGACCCAAAGUGGGGAUUGAGUCCCAUUGUUCUCGGCACUGUGCUAACAGAAUGAGGACAAGAUGAUCUCUGGUAACCAAACCCAGCAGGAGAGGGGAUCCCUCACACCAAGCCUCUCUGCUGGGUGGUCUGCACUCUUCUGGGGACACUGGGCUUGAAUGGCCAGCAUUUCUCUGAGCUGCUGAGUACUAAAAGUAGAGGCAAAAGGAAAAGCAAGCAGGCAGAGGAGCUGCCCAAGGCGGUCACAAUCACCAGGGAGCAGUGCUCCCCUCCAAACAGGCUCAGUGGCUUCUGCCAAGGGCAGACUCAUCGAUAAGCUUGUCCAAAGGCAGUGUGUCUCACUCCCUGAGUUUAACAUGAUGCCUUUUGGUCUCUGCAAUUCCCCUAGUGCCUCUCAGAGGCGCAUGGAUUUGAUUCUGGCAGCUGUUCAGUAGGCCACAUGUUCGGCCGAUCUGGAUGAUGCAAUUGUUUUUGGGAGGACUUUCCAGGAACAUUAAAAUCGCCUGGAGGAUGCUUGUAGCUGGCUGGAGCAGGCUGGUCUGAGAGCCGAAACCCAUCCAACUGUGACUAGUCAUGGUCCCAGGUGCAGCCCACUCCUCAUAUCAUGUCUUCAGCAGGGUGUGCCUCCACCUCCAGUGAGGACAGACACCCUCGGCACAAGCCCACCCCGGCAAUGGCAGCUGAAAGGACAACCAGAUCCCUCUGCACAAGGUGUGGGAGUCCUGGCUUUUCUCUGUUAUCUGGUAGAAGACAAGGAAGGGGAGGGAGACAUGAAAGCACAGCCUGGAUCUGAAUUCCCAGUCUGAUUCAGGGCUCAGCUUUUGGACCUAGGAAAAGAAGCUGGGCUGUGUCCCUGCUGCAGCCAUUUUGGAGAGGUGGCAGAGAGCUGCACACCCCAGCAGUCACAGGAGCCCAGAGGGGGGAAAUAAAAGGAUUUUUCUGAGUGAGCUGGUGAUGAGGAACAUCAAGUUAAGCUCUUUGGAGUGAGGUACAGUGCUCUUUUCCAGCAGAAGGAUCUUGAGCUUUGGCCUAAGAUGCUAUCAUGAGUAAUGGUCAGGUGUCACGCUGGCUGCCAGUGACCAGAGGCACUGAACCCCCUGGUCUGGCAGGAGCACACUCCGAUCACAGUCUGCUCCUUGCAGGGGGUAAGUAAAGUAGGUAACAAGACAGAGAUUUUCCACUGUCAUGCUUGGCUGAUAACAUGCUAGAAAUAGGUGUCCAUGUUAGGAUCGUUUUUCUGUCCUCAG